AUGGCACCAUCCAUGAGUCUUGCAGCGAAAGGUCUGCUCCCCUUUGGAGCGCUCCCCUCGAGCGGCGUCGCGCAGAGGCCGGUGUCUGUGACCGCCUCACUGGAGCACAAGACGAGCGAUUAUAAGAGGAAGCUCCUGAAGCUUGCGCUCGGAGGAGUCGGUCUGCCCGCCUUGUUGAGUGCCAAGAAGGCUUUCACCGAUGACCAGGGCGUCUUUUCCUCCAGGAUGUCUUACUUGAGGUAG
rnacentral:rRNA from 1 species